AGGCCUGGAGAAAAUUGAACAGCUACAAAAUCAUGAAAAUGAAGACAUCUACAAACUGGCUUAUGAGAUCAUUGAUCAGUUCUUCUCUUCAGAUGAUAUUGACGAAGAUCCUAGCCUUGUUCCAGAAGCAAUACAAGGCGGAACAUUUGGUUUCAAUUCAUCUGCCAAUGUACCAGCAGAAGGGUUCCAGUUUUAGAGUGGUAUUUCGGAAGUUAGGUACAAUGCAGCUCUGAAUAAAAAAAGGUUUGAUCCAUCAAUCUUGGCUCAUGGGAUCCGCUGCUGCAUUAAAUCGGGAAAGAAAAUGUGAAGAUUUCAUUUGGAAUCACAGAAAAGCCCAAAUGAAGUCAAGAUGGCGAGUGGGUGCGAGUGAGAAUGAGUGGCAAAAUGUAAUGAAAAACUUCACACUGAAUGCUUAUUUAGAUUGUUCAAAGAAAAAAGGGCUACAGGUCAAAGAUCUUCAGUGCCUGAGAAGGAACAAUGACUUACUAGAGCAAUUGGGGGGAAAUGCAGUACUAUCAUCAUCAAGCCUUGUAAAGCAUAAGAGAAUAGGAUGCCCACAUAAGUCCAAGGAGAAUGAGCCCAGGCCUUGCUAUGAAGCACCGUGUGAAUGGACAACGUUGAAUGAAUGUCUGGACUCAAUGCUGUGGAGCCAGGCUCACGUUUCAAACACGGGGCUCUUCGGUCCUGAAGCAGGCUCCUAGUCCGGAGUGGCGUGUGUACGAGAGUAUGGUUGUGAUGCUGUAUGUGAACGCAUGCAAGCUUGAUUCGCCUUCAGGGGGCUGAUAAUAAACCUAGUAAAUCAUCAAAAUGAGUUCAUAAGUGUUAACUUACACUGGACACACAAAUGAAGACCGGUUUAGCAGCAGACUCUGGUUUACUCCUCCAGCCUGUGUUUCUUUUUUUGUUUUGUUUUGGUUUUUUUUCCCUCUUAUUUUUCUUUCAGUUACUUUUCUUUCCUGUAUGGCUUAUUAGUUGUUUGUAAAGUCAGAAUUUCAGGAAGGCUUCCCUGUGCAUUUGCACCAGAUGAAUGUUUGAUGUUAUGAAAAGCUUUCCAUAUCAUCAAAACUAAUUUGUAGAUUUUUGCAUGAAAAAAAUCAUACAUUUCCCUUCAAAUAGACUGUGUUGCAGUACACAAGUUGCCAUAAUAGUAGGAAGCAGUAAAAUGUGGUAAUAAAAUAUCAUCCUUUUCAUUUUCAAAGAUAACAUGAAGACCUUUGCAUGUGGUAAUCUACAGCAUAGUUCAUUUUUAGAUUUUGUUGAGUCCUGUAACCAAAUGUUUCCGUUGUGGUAGAAUAAUACUGUGCUGUGUUUUCAAUGUUACUUGUUUUCAAACUUUGUUUUCUAUGAAAAUGAUAUGGAAACUUCUAAAAAUGAAAUUUGGUGCAUAUGUACUGCCGAAUAAAGACCGAAAAAGAGGUGUGAAUAGAUGUACAAAUCAAGUCAUGGUUUGAACACCUUUACUAUGCCUAAUCCAAUUGUUUUAGACUCUUUUUAUCUUAGAUGUAGGCAGCCAUGAACAAUCUAUUUUGAGCCACUUUAGAGAGAAAACUUUGUAUUUUUAAAACUUGCACAAAAAGAAUGCAAGUGUUUUUAUAAUUGGAGUACUGCCUCAGUUUUGAGGUUCUGCACACUAAAUUAAAGGUGAUGUUACAAAUUUGUACAAAAUGAACUCUUUAUAAGGUGGCUCAUUGUAGGAAAUGCUGUGCCUUCCCCUUUGAGCACAAGUGUUGCAUGAACAACAGUUUGCUAUAAUAAAAUGUACCAGAUUAGCCACCAUUAGCAUCUAUAUCUACCUUGUGUUUUAAAAUCAACUGGUAAUUCUGAAACACUGUAGAAUGGAUAAAGAUUAUUUUGUGAUCAUAACUCUUUGUUGGACUAGAGUAUUUUUGCAGCAUUCCUUGUCAUCAGAAACAUGGUUAAAGUUUAAAACUAGAAGCAGCGGAAACUAGCUUGUGAAAUUUAUCCAAGUAGAGUGCAGGCUAGGCUGUCUUGGGGAAAUAAACGUUAAAACUUGCAAC